AUCAGGCAAAGACCGGGAAAAAAGGAAACAAUUUCCAAUUAUUGUAAAGUCUUCGUCUUCCAAAUAGUUCCGAUUAUUGUAAAGUCUUGGUCUUCCUAAUAAGAUCAUUUGUGCGUGGAAAGUGAACGAAUACUUGCAAGUCAUAAAGAGUACUCGUCGACUUCAUUUGCACCAAACGGAAAGACCCGGUUGUGGUUGUUGCCCAACUGUUAACCACCAGUCACUCCACCACAUCACAACCACACACAUGAGACAACAGAUAUACGGGCUCGGCCAAUCUGCCGACAUCCCCGGAGAGGAACAAAUAAUCACUAUCACAGAAUGAAUUACAAUGGUACAAUGUGAGGAGCUCAUCUCCACAUCACCUCUCAGCACUCUCUCAUCUCAUCUCUCACUGUCUCUCCUCAGAUUCACAGCACCCAAUUCUAGCCCACUCUCUGUCAGAUUCUCCUGUGCUCUCGGUGCUCCACGAGCAAAACACUGCACUCCCUACUCCCCCCAAACCCAACCCUCUCUGUCCAGCCCCUCUUCUGCACAACGCAACAUGCUUGUGCUCUCCCGUAAUCCCCCAAGGAGUACAUCUCUCUGCACGCUCUGCUCUCUCUCUGGCAACUCUCUGUAUUUAUCGGCCUCAGAGCAGAGAGAUAGCUCAUGGCUGAGCUCAUUGCCCCCAUCGUUGACAAAUGGAGGAGGAAAGGUCUCCAUCUGAGACUUUGGUGCAGCCUUCUUUGACAGAAGCGGUCAGAGCUUCUCUGUCUUCAGCUUCUUUCCUUCCUUCAACAAUCAAACAGCAAAACUCUCGCAAAUCCUUAAUAAACAUGAUUUUUACUAUUCCAUAGGGGCUGGGCCUUCUCUUGGGCUUGGGCUUAGGCUAUUGGGCUUGGGCCUCCAUAAAUGGGCGGAUCCUCAACAAUCUCCCCCUCCACGCAUUGGAGGGUCAUCUGAAUUUUAAGUUAUCCAUCCCGACAACUUCUUCCAUCUCCCUGUAAGAUCUAGCAAGACAGUAUCUGAGAUACGUUACCCUCAUCCGUGGCAACUCCCUUCCACUGAGUGGAUUGGCACCUCCAAACGCUGAAGUGCUUGCAUCACCUUCUCACCUAGUGCUCGGCUCCUUCUGCUUCCCCCCCCCCGGGUGCGCUGCAAGUACUCGCUUUGCAAGUCGUCGUGACUCUCCAUCUCUCCUCCUUUGUGUGGACAACAGAGAGAAUCACCCGCCACUGAUCUUGAGUGAAAGAUACACGUCCGGCGACGUCGUGCCUGUCAUUGUGCAUCGACUCUGUCUCCUCCUCUGAGCCUUCUUCAAUGGACAUCCUGCAAUGGUUGCACCUUCUCGUGUCUGGCCAGACGUCUGCACAGUAUCCCAAAGCAUCUCCUGCACUCCUGUUCCACUGUGGAUCCUUCAAGACAUCCUUCUGGUAUUUUUCCUGCGCUGGCUUUGCGUCCUCUGUGCAAACGGUUGCUUCUUUUCGUCCCUUCAUCUUGCUAAUACCACUGGACUAUGUCGGACAGGCGCUCUCGCUGUCCUGGACAUUCUCCUUCGUCCGGUAUAAGCCUUUUCCAGUCUUUCCUCUCGCUGAAUCUCCUGCAGCUUCUUCCAUGUUUUCCCUUGGGAACUCUGAGUGUUCCUCCUCCAUAGCUUCAAAGCUCCUCGCUCGACUCCACCGCAUCUCAAUGAAACAUGCCUUACCCUAACCCCGGUCCCUUCAUGAUCUCCUCCGUCUGGCCAUGGCGAACCGGACUGUCCUUUGCCAACAUCUCCAUCGUUAGCCAUGCCCCCCCGAACAAGUCUCCUCGCAUGCUACAUGUGUAAGAGCACAUCUCUCUGUCUCAUUUCACGAAGUUGGUAAGCAAUUCCUGAAUCAGAAAUCCAGUCUGACUCUUAUCUGCCGAUGCUGCUAGGAGAACAUCCACUCUCAUCCACAGUCCAUCAUCUGCUGUUGUUGCGGCCUCUGAAGACUGAUCUGGUGCUUUGUUCCUUGGACAAUCUCUUGUCCCUCCUGGUCGCAAUAAAAGCACUUAAAAGUGCGACCUCUGAUUUGCCCUAAUGCCAUUAUCUGCCGGUAUCCUCUUCCUUGACCUCUUCUCUUGACCCUGUGACCUCCUCUUGAGACCUCUUCUCUGGGCCUCUUUUCUUUGACCUCUUCCUGUGACUCUCUUCUCUUGAACUCGCUCAUUGUUCCGCACUGUAGUCUCUCUCUUAAAACUUCAAUACUAAGCCUCUUCUCAAUAAGACUUUGUUCUGAGAUUCUUCUCCUUUUCCUCCUGGUACAUCCUCCAAUUUAGUCCACACCCAUACAUGAGCACUCAUCUCACGCAUCAUCGUGCGACAUGUUGGAACACUCCUUGUGUUCAUGCAUUGUCAAUCUCGCAACACUCGUCUCAUCGUGCUACAUGAUGGAACACUUUCGUGUUCAAGCAAUUGUCUGAUCUGCCCAUCAUCUUUCCUGUUCAUCUCAAAUUUUCCUCAUCCAUUGGUUUUCCUGGGCGUAUCCGCAUCUGAAAGCUGAUCAGGGCUCUCAAUUACUCUGGCCUUCCUACUUCUCCAAAAUGGAGCAAAAUCUCUAAAAACCGAUCUCGCGUAUGAAUCGGAAAACGUCUGAGAAACUCAAAAGGUUUUUUUUCCGUCCGAAAUCAGACACUUCUGGACCCAAAUUGGAUCAAAUCAAACUUCAUGGACUAAACUGGAAUUUAAUCAAUUUUCCAUGGACCUAAUGUGCAAUUUCCCAAACUCCAGGGAACCAAAACUCGCAAACUGGCAAUUUUCAAACUUCAAGGGACCAAAUUGAAAAUAACCAAAAAGUUUUCAGGGACUAAAAAAGUGCAAUUUUCCUUUUUCCGGUCAAUUUUGGUCACGGUCAAAAGUUGACCGGUCAACGGUCAAACAUGCUGGUCCAACUGGUCACGGCUCAGGUGACCGGGUCAACGGCUUGGCUGGUCAACAUCGUCAACGGCUGGUCAAUGCGGCUGGUCAACAUGGCUUGUCACUGGUCAUCAUGGCAUCACAUGGCGGUAUUCAACAUGGCUGGAUUCAAUUGUUGUUUAAAAAUGAGAUUCCCAGCACCAUAAUUGCCAACACAAUCAUUAUGCUUUAACCUUUCUCUUUUAAUAACACUAACCACCUUUUCUUUUUUUUUCAACAGCCUAAAUGAUUAUGUUUUGGCUUUCACAGAGAGACAAGGGACCAUGGGGCGUCAUGGGGGGCCCGCAUGGAUUCGGUCGUCUUCCCUCGCCUGGAGUGCGUGGGGCGCGUGGAUCUGAUGCGCCGAAUUUCGCGCGAAGCAGCGUGAGGGCUCAUUUGGAGUUCGAUUUUGGACUCCGUUUGGUGGCUGAGCCUUCGUCUCGACGAGAGAAUCUAGUGGUAUUCUCAAAUCUCAGGUUUGGAGUCAAUUCGAAUUUGCUCAGAAUUUGAACGAUGACUUCCGUGGUACUCCGUGACUCUCCGGUGACUCGAACUUGGCUCCUGAUACCAUUGUUGUGCCAAAACGAGUUACCCAGUCACUCACUCCACCAACAGCAAACCACACACUGAGACACAUAUAUAUACGUGGCUCGGCCAUCUUCUGUCCUACAUCACGAGCGGGAACAAAUCAUUCCACUAUCCAAAUCACAUAAUGAAUUACAAUGAUACACUAGGGAGGAAGCUCAUCUCCACUCACCUCUCAACUCUCAGCACUCUCUCAAUCUCUCUCUCACUAUCUCUCUCAGAUCUACAUCCCCAAUUCUAGCCCACUCUCUGGUCCAGAUCUCUGUUCUCUCGGUGCUCUCACUAGCACACUAAGGCACUCCCCCCCAACCCAACCCCUCUGCCAGCCCCUCUCUGCACAACAGCAACUGCUGUGUGCUCCCGGUAAAUCCCCCAAGGAUUACAUCUCUCUGCACCGCUCUGCUCUUCUCUCUGCAACUCUCUGUAUUUAUAGGCCUCAGAGCAGAGAAGAUGAUCUCAUGGCUUGAGCUCAAUAUGCCCCCCUCUUUGACAAAUGGAGGAGGGAAAGUCUCCAUCUGAGACUUUGGUGCAGCCUUCUUUGACAGAAGCUGUCAGGCUUCUCUGUCUUCACAGCUUCUUGUCCUUCCUUCCACAAUCACAGCAAACGCUACGCAAUCCUUAAUAAACAUGAGUUUACUAUUCAUAUGGGCUUGGGCCUUCUCUUGGGCUUGGGCUUAGGCUAUUGGGCUUGGGCCUCCAUAAAUGGGCUGGAUCUCAACAUUGUGUACAUAAUAGCAUAGACACCUAGUCAAGUCAAUGUCAUUAUGUUAAAUUGGUUAUAUAUCAUAAGUUAAACCCCCACACUCCAGCUCUAAAUUCUCAAAUUUGCGGAUUUAUCCCUAAUUCGUGUUAAAUUCGCAGUGAAUUCGUGAAUUAAGUAAGUUCUUUGGUGAAUUGGUUAUAUAUCAUAAGUUUUGGACCUGAGAUGUUUCAAAAUUGAGCCAAUUGGAAAUAUAGUUAACCCUGAGGGCCUAAUUAGUUAUUUAUAGGAAAGACUACAGCUGUGUAGCACAAAGGAAAUUUUGUAAAGUGAAAAACGCCUAUGGAUUAAGAUCACUUAACCACUGAAUCCAAAUCAUUCUUAUGUUGGCUCAUGAGAUGCUAUAAUAUAAUGUAAUUAUCAAAUACAUCAUGGAAUUGGACAUUUUAAUUAACAAAGGCAAUAAUCUAUAUAAUAAAAUAUAUAAAUAAUACAAGAACUAUUAGGGGGAAGGCAUAGUCUGUCCUUGCUAGGGAAGAGACCUCUGACGCACUAACGCUAUGAAGUAAGUUCGGUGAUCCUCUGCACCGGAUCUUGGUGGAGACACGUUGAACAUUGGCCUUGCUAGGGCAAAUGGUCUCCGCCGAGCUAUCGCUAUAAAGUAAGCUCGCCGGUUUUCUACGCCGAAACUCGGUGCAGACAUUAACGAACACUGUCACUAUCCGAGCUAAAUACAUCGCUAUCUCUGAGCUAUCGCUAUUUAGAAAGCUUGAGAUAAUAAUUGCGCUAGAAUCUUAGACGAUGGCAAUGGCCGACGACAAUCUUGAUGGAUGUCAGGGACAGAAGAUAACUUGCACGGCAAAAUUUAUUUUGAUAGCCCACAUGCCCAGAUGGAGACGUCGACGUGAUGAUGACUAGCUACCAGCCAACCCUAGGAGCAUGGCUGGGCCAGCCACAUACUCACUGACACAUCGGUUAGCGCGUAUAAGUACUCACCAAGCUACAGUCUGUCCGAUAACAAGACAGUUAGCGCGACAAUGCACGCGCUAGAAUAUGCUAUAUAAAGUCAACUUUUUAUUCAUUGAAAGGUAUGUAUACUCUGGCUAUCUGAGCUUAUAUACACUUGCUCUCUUUACAUCUCUGAUUUUCUAAUUUAACCGUCGGAUAACCAUUUUUUAAAAAUAGCUUCGGCGAUCAAACUUACUAUGUCUAUGCUGUAGUUAGGAUAUCAGAGGUUGAUUGUGUUGGGUUGAACAGUGGAAGCACCCAAGAACGAGAUUCGAACACAUACCACAAACACAACCAAUGAAAGUAUGAUGAAAUGUAAAAUGGAGAUGAGAGACAACACAAUAAUUUACAGUGGUUCGGCAAUAACCGCAUACUCCCACGGAGAGGAUCCCGUCUUUUACUAUGAGUAAAAAAUAGUACCAAGUAUACUUGAUAUGAUAUCCCACACCCAAUCCCUUAUACACACUCAUCAAGAAACACUCUCCAUAAGUAUAAAACUUUUGUCCCUUGACACACACUCUUCUUCUCUAUUUCUUCUUCUUUUCAGCUCCCUCUCUUAUAGCCUUAUAAAGAGAAGUCGAAAGGAGACUUGAGGCACCGCAAUCUAAGACCAUGAUAAGCCGCUAAUCAAAAGACAUAUGACUAAACGCAAUCAAGGACCAUGACUAAGCCCCAAUAGAAGGACAUGACCAGCCGCAUAAAGACUAUGACCCGGCCGGUGAAAGAUAAUUAAAAACCAAUUUUGAAAGUAGAAACCAAUCCCACCAAUCUCCACCUUGGUGAGAAUUCCAAGUGCACGAUCGCACUCCCCAAGCUUUGAUACAAUGACUACACCACCCGAAUAAAAACUUUUAUUCGAACCACACGACCAAAAAACACGGUAGCCAUCCCGUGCCAAUUAUCAUCAAUUGAUCAGCGAGAAGGACCUCGCCCAUCCUCUCUUCCAACGAGCGUUACACCCUCACAUCCACGGCCAAUUUGGAAACAUAACUUGGUCUUUGCCGCAAAAAAAAAAAAGAACCACACCUGGGUACCCACGUUCUUGUGCCCACCGUUUCCCAACUUCGUCGAGUAAACCAAUUUUGCCAAUCAACCCGAACAAUCAUUCGCACUUCUCUCCUUUCAUUUAGACCUUGCUGCGCGUGGAUAUUCAUGGCUCCACCUCCAGCAAAAUACUUGCAAUCAUUGGAGUCCAUCAGGCUAAGUGAAAUUAGAUUCCUUCGUAACUUCGGGAUUUCUUAAACCCACACACCCAAAGUACGAACCGCUCCAUCACAACAUUUUUAUCUUCACAUUCCCGACACCUUGAAUUUACAGGGAGUUCAAUCGCCCAAAAAUAGCGACCACCAUCUCUUUCUUGGAAUGUGUUCAAAAAAAUUCCUUUUCGAACAAACAUGCAUAGUGAAACCCGACUUAAAAUCUAACCAUUAUGAGAAGGAAGUGUUAAUCCCUUUCAGAGAAUGUGAGGCAAUCUUCCACAUCCGCCUACCACAAAAAAUUGCAGCUUGAAGCGUCGUCGCAUUUUUCCAUUUAUCCUUUCGCAAAAAGGAACAAUCACGCGGGAUUCACAUGACCAAAUUCUGUGCCAAUAGUAGCAUUGUAAUUCCUUUUUCUCUGGAACUAGAAAUGGACCCGUUGACUCAUCCAGAUCUAACAUCAUAUUUCUGCCACCGAUUUCCCACUUUGAACUGCAAGAGCUGUAAUUCUCCAUCCUCAAAACUUGACCUUUUUGAGUACCAUGAGAAAUCAAUGACGACUGCACUGCUCCAAACUCAUUGUAUCUUUCCCAUACAAAAGAGUUGUCACCAAAGGAUCAUACGAAUCCGAAAAGAGAUUCAGAAAGCAAAAGGGCCUUGUCUUCUGCAUCUAUUUUUACAUCAACUUUUCGCAGCUGAUCUAAAUAAACCAUUGAAACACGUUCAUGUGUUCAAUGAGCUCCCGCCGUCUCCAUCUUUAACCGAUAUAAUUGUGCUUCCAGAUGCAACUUGUUGUCAAACUCUUGGCAAGGAUCGAGUUUUCCACACUUCUUUCACAAGGGAUGAUGCCGAUCGUCAUCAUUAACAUUGUUGAUAAUAAUUAUCCAGCAUACAGAGCCGAUCGUUGCUCACACAUUUCAUCAUCAACUCUUCCCAAUCAUAUCUUCAUACGUCUCCGGUUUGAAUCCUUUCCUUUCAACGCCUUAGCCAAAGCCUAUUGAAUAGGAUAUCUUUACCAUUCGUUUGCCAUAGGGUAUAAUUAAAGCUAUUAUUUCACCAUUAAAUCGUUCGAGAGAAAAUGAGAGGUGAUCGUGCCUUCAUUGUGGAUGUAA
rnacentral:lncRNA from 1 species